ensembl:misc_RNA Metazoa_SRP Metazoan signal recognition particle RNA
GCUGUGUGCCGUGUGUGUGCCUGUAGUCUCAGCUACUCGGGAGACUGAGGUGGGAGGAUUGCUUGAGACCAGGAGAUCUGGGCUGUAGUGCCCAGAGCUAGGCCAAUCAGGUGUCUGCACUAAGUUCAGCAUCAAUAUGGUGACCUCCUGGGGGCGGGGUCCACCAGGUUGCCUAAGGAGGGGUGAACGAGCCCAGAAUGGAAACAGCAGGUCAGGUCAAAACUCCUGUGUUGAUCAGUAGUGGGAUCACACCUGUGAAUAGCCACUGCACUCCAGCCUGGGCAACAUAGCAAGACUCCAUCUCUC